AACGAACGCUGGCGGCAGGCUUAACACAUGCAAGUCGAGCGCCCCGCAAGGGGAGCGGCAGACGGGUGAGUAACACGUGGGAAUAUGCCCUAUGGUGCGGAACAACUGAGGGAAACUUCAGCUAAUACCGCAUGUGCCCUACGGGGGAAAGAUUUAUCGCCAUAGGAGUAGCCCGCGUUGGAUUAGCUAGUUGGUGGGGUAAAGGCCUACCAAGGCGACGAUCCAUAGCUGGUCUGAGAGGAUGAUCAGCCACAUUGGGACUGAGACACGGCCCAAACUCCUACGGGAGGCAGCAGUGGGGAAUAUUGGACAAUGGGCGCAAGCCUGAUCCAGCCAUGCCGCGUGAGUGAUGAAGGCCUUAGGGUUGUAAAGCUCCUUCACCGGUGAAGAUAAUGACGGUAACCGGAGAAGAAGCCCCGGCUAACUUCGUGCCAGCCGCCGCCGUAAUAC
rnacentral:rRNA from 1 species